UAUAUAUAUAUAUAUAUAUAUAUAUAUAUAUAUAUAUUUCCAAGAACAUUGUGGAAAUUUGACGACCGAGAGGGGUCCUACAUUGUAAUAUAAAAACAUUUAUUUCCAUGAACUUUGUGGAAAUGUGCAGACUUAAUGGAAGUCCUACAGUUGUAAUAUAUAAAAAAAAAAGAAUAUAUUUCUGUGUACUUUUGUGGAAAUCCGAGGACCAAAAGAGGUCCCACGUUGUUACAUAAUUAUAUUUCCGUGAACUUUGUGGAAUGUCAGGACAAAGAGAAAUCCUAUAUUGUAAUAUAUAAAUUCCUUCUAUGUUAAAGCUACCUUUUUCUAUUCUGGACGUUGAAGGUAGAGGAAAUUGGAAAAAAAAGAAAAAAAAAAAAAAUUAAAAAACCAAUGCACUAACAAACAAAAAAACAAUGUAAACACACAAGCAUGGAUGUAUUGUGUAGACAUUUUACAUCUAGCCCUGCUGUCAUACACCUGUAUACGCAGCUGCAAUGCCAUGUAGAAUAAUAUAUAGCAGUACCACACUACAUAUUAUUGUCAUUGAAUAAAGAAGAGAAAACAAAUAAUAAA